UUCCUCCGCUUAUUGAUAUGCUUAAGUUCAGCGGGUAUCCCUACCUGAUCCGAGGUCAACCUAAGAAAAAUGAAUAAAUUCAAUUUAGCGGCAAAAGACCGUACCGACCCAAAGAGCGUUGUUAGAAAUUCUACUGCGCCCAAAGUCGGUAAGACUUCGCCGAAGGUUUUGGGGCGCGCCUGCCUUUCCAGACAGACGGACGCCUAAUACCAAGCAGAGCUUGAGUGGUGUAAUGACGCUCGAACAGGCAUGCCCCUCGGAAUACCAAGGGGCGCAAUGUGCGUUCAAAGAUUCGAUGAUUCACUGAAUUCUGCAAUUCACAUUACUUAUCGCAUUUCGCUGCGUUCUUCAUCGAUGCCAGAACCAAGAGAUCCGUUGUUGAAAGUUUUAAUUUAUUUAAAUUAUAACUCAGACGACUGGUUAAAGACAAGAGUUUGUAUUACCUCUGGCGGGCGCAUGCCGGGCCUAAGACCGGCAGCCGCUUUUUACAGCGGCGGUCCACGCCAAAGCAACAAGGGUGUUUUAACAACAAAGGGUUGGAGGUCGGGCCGUGAGACCCUUACUCAUUAAUGAUCCUUCCGCAGGUUCACCUACGGAAG
rnacentral:misc_RNA from 1 species